rnacentral:rRNA from 1 species
UACGUAGGGGGCAAGCGUUGUCCGGAUUUAUUGGGCGUAAAGCGCUCGCAGGCGGUCCGAUGCGUCGUGCGUGAAAGACCCCGGCUCAACUGGGGGGUGUCGUGCGAUACGGUCGGACUGGAGGCCAGUAGGGGGGUGCGGAAUUCCGGGUGUAGUGGUGGAAUGCGUAGAGAUCCGGAGGAACACCAGCGGCGAAGGCGGCAUCCUGGACUGGUCCUGACACUCAUGAGCGAAAGCGUGGGGAGCGAUCCGG